rnacentral:rRNA from 1 species
GACGAACGCUGGCGGCGUGCCUAAUACAUGCAAGUUGAGCGCUGAAGGUUGGUACUUGUACCAACUGGAUGAGCAGCGAACGGGUGAGUAACGCGUGGGGAAUCUGCCUUUGAGCGGGGGACAACAUUUGGAAACGAAUGCUAAUACCGCAUAAAAACUUUAAACACAAGUUUUAAGUUUGAAAGAUGCAUUUGCAUCACUCAAAGAUGAUCCCGCGUUGUAUUAGCUAGUUGGUGAGGUAAAGGCUCACCAAGGCGAUGAUACAUAGCCGACCUGAGAGGGGGAUCGGCCACAUUGGGACUGAGACACGGCCCAAACUCCUACGGGAGGGAGCAGUAGGGAAUCUUCGGCAAUGGACGAAAGUCUGACCGAGCAACGCCGCGUGAGGGAAGAAGGUUUUCGGAUCGUAAAACUCUGUUGGUAGAGAAGAACGUUGGGGAGAGUGGAAAGCGCAUCAAGUGACGGUAACUACCCAGAAAGGGACGGCUAACUACGUG